rnacentral:misc_RNA from 1 species
AGGCUUUUACGUUUUUCUGGCAUCUGUUGAAGCUUCUAAACCAAGAAAAAAUUUCAGAGAGAACCAAAAUGUGCUGGACAGGUCUCAACCAGCAAACAUUCUUCACAUGGAACUUUUAAAUGCUGCAGCUUCAAAAACAAAAGGCACAAAUACUUUGAGGACCUGCUGUGAGCCACUUUAUAAGUUAUAACAUCUAAAAAUUCUACAUGAAGAAGUCACCUCCCCUCAAAAUCUUGGUCAGUGUCAUAUGACUCGUUUUCCUUCUUUUCUGGAACAUGCUUUUCAAGAAACUGCUGAAUAGUUCUCCAAUAAUG